rnacentral:rRNA from 1 species
CCUAACACAUGCAAGUCGAACGGUAACGCGAGGAGCUUGCUCCUUGGCGACGAGUGGCGGACGGGUGAGUAAUACUUAGGAAUCUGCCCAGUAGCGGGGGACAACUCGAGGAAACUCGAGCUAAUACCGCAUACGCCCUACGGGGGAAAGCGGAGGAUCUUUCGGGACUUCGCGCUAUUGGAUGAGCCUAAGUCGGGUUAGCUUGUUGGUGGGGUAAAGGCCUACCAAGGCGACGAUCCGUAGCUGGUCUGAGAGGACGAUCAGCCACACUGGGACUGAGACACGGCCCAGACUCCUACGGGAGGCAGCAGUGGGGAAUAUUGGACAACGGGGGCAACCCUGAUCCAGCAAUGCCGCGUGUGUGAAGAAGGCCUGCGGGUUGUAAAGCACUUUCAGUAGAGAAGAAAAGCUUACGGUUAAUACCCGUGAGUCUUGACGUAACCUACAGAAGAAGCACCGGCUAACUCCGUGCCAGCAGCCGCGGUAAUACGGAGGGUGCAAACGUUAAUCGGAAUUACUGGGCGUAAAGCGCGCGUAGGCGGUUUGGUAAGUCGGAUGUGAAAGCCCUGGGCUCAACCUGGGAAUUGCAUUCGAUACUGCUGAACUAGAGUAUGGUAGAGGGAAGUGGAAUUUCCGGUGUAGCGGUGAAAUGCGUAGAUAUCGGAAGGAACACCAGUG